rnacentral:miRNA from 1 species
UGUACCUCCCUGAUCGGAAGGGUUUCCUCCUGAUCAACGAGGUACAUCCUUGUUGACCGGAAGGAAACCCUUCCAGUCAAAGAGGUCGAUGUACCUCCCUGACCGGAAGGGUUUCCUUCCGAUCAACAAGGAUGUACCUCGUUGAUCGGAAGGAAACCCUUCCGACCAGGGAGGCACA